rnacentral:rRNA from 1 species
GACGAACGCUGGCGGCGUGCCUAAUACAUGCAAGUAGAACGCUGAAGGAGGAGCUUGCUUCUCCGGAUGAGUUGCGAACGGGUGAGUAACGCGUAGGUAACCUGCCUGGUAGCGGGGGAUAACUAUUGGAAACGAUAGCUAAUACCGCAUAACAGUAGAUAUCGCAUGAUAUCUGCUUGAAAGGUGCAAUUGCAUCACUACCAGAUGGACCUGCGUUGUAUUAGCUAGUUGGUGAGGUAACGGCUCACCAAGGCGACGAUACAUAGCCGACCUGAGAGGGUGAUCGGCCACACUGGGACUGAGACACGGCCCAGACUCCUACGGGAGGCAGCAGUAGGGAAUCUUCGGCAAUGGACGGAAGUCUGACCGAGCAACGCCGCGUGAGUGAAGAAGGUUUUCGGGUCGUAAAGCUCUGUUGUAAGAGAAGAACGAGUGUGAGAGUGGAAAGUUCACACUGUGACGGUAUCUUACCAGAAAGGGACGGCUAACUACGUG